GUAACACCCGAAGUCGGUGAGGUAACCUUUUGGAGCCAGCCGCCGAAGGUGGGACAGAUGAUUGGGGUGAAGUCGUAACAAGGUAGCCGUAUCGGAAGGUGCGGCUGGAUCACCUCCUUU
rfam:Bacillus ginsengihumi strain M2.11 NODE_134, whole genome shotgun sequence.